rnacentral:rRNA from 1 species
UACGUAGGGGGCAAGCGUUGUCCGGAAUCAUUGGGCGUAAAGAGCGUGUAGGCGGCCCGAUAAGUCCGUCGUGAAAGUCCAGGGCUCAACCCUGGAAUGCCGGUGGAAACUGUCGGGCUGGAGUCCGGAAGAGGCGAGUGGAAUUCCUGGUGUAGCGGUGAAAUGCGCAGAUAUCAGGAGGAACACCAAUGGCGAAGGCAGCUCGCUGGGACGGUACUGACGCUGAGACGCGAAAGCGUGGGGAGCAAACAGG